UCUUUUCUCUAGAACAUCCCACAAGAUGCCUCUCUCUCUCUACAAUCACUCUGUACUCCAUCGGAGGCCUCUCUCUACUAGCAUUCUUCUAGUCUUCCCUCAAAGUCUGCAAGACGCCUCCCUUUCUCUCUCUAAUCACUCUUCCCUCAAGCUCAACAGAUCGUCCGGUUUGAUCAUACGCAUCAGAUCUGUUCUCUUCUAGGGUAAGCUUUGGCGGAUGAAACUUGUGAGAAAAUACAAUUAAAGUUGCUCUUAAGCUUCUUUCAUAUUUCAUUCUAGUAAUCAAAAAAUUUCGCUUUCCUUUAUUUAAGUUUUUUUUUUUUUUUGGCUUUAUUAUUAUUUCUUGUGCUUCGCUUCAUAUUAUUUUUAUAUUCUUUAGGAUUUUUGUUAUUUUGUUUAUUUUAGAAUAGGUUGAAUAAAAGAAAAAUGUUAUCAGGUCUGAUCAACAAGUUUAUGUUUGCUAUUAUUUCAGGAUUAAUUAAUUAAUUAGCUUAAUAUUAUUUUUAUAUUCUUUAGGAUUUUUGUUAUUUUGUUUAUUUUAGAGUAGGUUGAAUAAAAGAAAAAUGUUAUCAGGUCUGGUCAACAAGUUUAUGUUUGCUAUUAUUUCAGGAUUAAUUAAUUAAUUAAUAUUAAGCUAAUUAAGUAAUUAAUUAGCUUAAAAAGUUUAUGUUUGUUUCAUUUCUAGAAAGAGUACAUCUAUUCCAUUGUAGCUUCAGUUUUAGUUUAGUGUCUACAAAGAUGUUAUUUUUUUUAUUUUUUUUUUUCUCUCUGGGUGUUGAUUGGAAUACCAUCUUUAUCAAAAUUUGGAUUCUACGUAAGGGUAAUGAAAAUAUAUAUAUACAUAUAUAUCUCGUUAAAGUAAGGGGAAGAUAUUUGAAGUCCUCUAACGUUCCAAUUAUUAUUUUUAAAAUUAAAAAUGGUAUCAUUGUUUUUUAAAAAUAUUAGUGUCACAUCAUUGUUCUAGGACUAAAGAUUGGGAAGAUAAUAGCUUGAGAUUUUUUUUCAUCCAAUUCAUUUAUUUUUAUUUCAUCACAUUUUUUUUGUUGAUUGUGAAAGGUGAAUAUAUAUAAUUUAAGGGCUUAAAUAUAUUUUGAAUUUGAAAAGUUCAAAGAAGAAAUUCAGAGCCAUUUGGUACUGGUGCCCUUUGAAAAAUGAAUUAAAAAAUUAAGGGUUAAAAUAACCGAGUUAACAAAAGUAAAUCAGAGUAUUAUGUAGCUCUUAAAUAAAUACCAACAUAUUUUCACUUGUUAAUAGAAAAGUAAGAUGGUAUAAGACAAAGCAAUUUUUAAUCUAGCCUUCUAUGGGUUUCUUGUCAUUUUUCUCUAUGGAACGAAAAGCUUACAGAAGGAACAACAAUUUUCUUGUUAAUUUAUAGUUGAACAAAAUGUCAAACUAGAUACAUUACAUAUUACUGUCAAGUUUUCCAAACUCUCCUUUUUUAUGUGUGUGUGUGCACACAUCAUGGCAGCAUUUUGAUUCUGAUAAAUUUAUUUUGUUACAUGGUUUACUUGCUUGAUUAUUUUAAUAUAUUACUUUAUGAAUAUGAACACCCUCCAAUCAUAACAAAGAAGAGUACAACUGAAUCAGUUGAUAAAAAUAGCAAUGAAGCAACCAAGGUGCUCAAGCAAAUCUGGUUUGAUCUUAGUGACACCCAGUUGAAGUGAAUUAUACUAGAAUUUAAAUAUAUAUUCUCUAUAUUUUUGUUGCCUUCCUUGUGUUAUUAAACAUAUCACCUAUAAAACAAUUGAGUGAUGUUAUGUAGUAUUAUUUAAUGAAAUAUUUCCUGUUAUAUAUGUGCUUAGUUUGAUGAACUUUUGGCACAAUAAAAAAUAAUAUGGCAACUGGACUUGUGUAUUUAUUAAAUAAGUUUAAGUUUACUCAACUAUCUUUAUUGUUAAAUUUUACUUAUGUAAGCAAAACUCUUAGUACUUCUUUCCCAAAAAAGAAUUAUUUGUUUGUAGCUUCGUCUACUUGGCAAUUGCUUCAACAUUAUAUCUUGGAGCCUUAAUUUAUAUUUUUCUUUGUUGGUCCCUUCGAUUCUGUAUGAUUGAGCUUUGUUUGGAAUUCGGAAACUAGAAGUGUAGGAAAGAAAGGAAAGUAUUACAAAAAGAUACUCCCAGUCUAUACUGAAUUUUUGAAAUCUUGAAUGUCAUUAUUAAGUGUUCAUGUCCUUAAGCUAUGUUGCAUAUCCUUCGUAAUUUCAUUUCGUUUCUUUUUCCAGAUCUAUUAAUUAUUCACUACAAAGAAAGAACUGUGAUUGGACUUCACUCACAUCACAAACCAAUUAACUUAGUAAGAGAAGCAAGCAUGGUGACUAUUUGAAACAAAUUUACAGAACAUAUUUUUAAGCUUUGUAUGUGAUCUCAUCUGUACUUCUGUAAUGCUUAAACGUGUAUGUUGAAUGUGCCUCAUGGAGUGGUCGGAAACAAUAUGAAUGUGCCUAACUACAGAGAAUUUGAGAACAAAUUCAUUUUAUCCUUUUUUCUUUCAAUGGAACUAUUUCUUUCUCUA